UACGGAGGAUGCAAGCGUUAUCCGGAAUGAUUGGGCGUAAAGCGUCCGCAGGUGGCAAUGUAAGUCUGCUGUCAAAGCGUCUGGCUCAACCAGAUAAAGGCAGUGGAAACUACAUAGCUAGAGUAAGGUAGGGGUAGAGGGAAUUCCUGGUGUAGCGGUGAAAUGCGUAGAGAUCCGGAGGAACACCAGAGGCGAAAGCGGCAUCCUGGCUCAUAGUUGACGCUCAGACACGAAAGCAUGGGGAGCGAACGGG
rnacentral:rRNA from 1 species